GUACGCCAGCUGACUUCCGGGUCCUAUUUGUAGACGUACGACGAUUCUUUGAGUUUAGGUUUCAUCGAGUUGAUCGCUGAGAAACGAUCCAUUCAUGCGGUCUUAAUAAAUAAUGGGAUGCGGCGUAUGUUCGAACCAAUAAGGAUCACAGGCCGCACUUACGUCAUGGAAAACCUGGUAUUGAUCGCACCCUAGACCAAUGGGGUUCACCGCCGCAACGGUGUUACUCUUACUGUUCUGGCGGUGAAUUCGAACGCGUCACCACCACCACUCUAAGCCGGGAAAGUAUGAAUUUUCUCGUCGAACAUUGAUGUCGUGAGAUCGCACAUCAUUGGCGAUAAUUAUCUUGAAAGCUCUUCAAUGAUGGUCUUGUGCAAUGUACAUUGUGUGUGGCGUUUGAUCGACGAACGUCUGACAUAGACUGUAUUAAUACUACUGGCGUGCGGCUGACUAGCGAUAACAGUACGUACUGUCUUAAGCAGUGGUGCCUUACAUUACUUUAUUUUAACAUAAAUUUCGAUAGAGAGUGGGAUAAAAAAAUAUUUAAAGAUUUUAUGCAAAUGAAAAAAAACUUUGUUUCGACAGAUCACAUCUUAAAUGUCGAUCAAUCAAGAGCAAUAUUAAAAUCAGCUGCCAACAGCCAUCAACCUAAAGUAGUAGACUCUGCUGAUCUGCUUUUAUGGUGGUAUGCAAUACACGCAUGAUUAAUGAUGUAUGGAGGGUAGCCAAAGAUACUGAAUCGUAUCUUUCUUUCGCGAGAAUCAAAUAAAAAGUAAUAUUAUACGGAUCGUAAAUCAGGUUCCAAUGUACAAUCAUAAAUAAUAUAUAUUUUUAUUUUCUUGCACGUGCACCUGAACUCAAUUCAGGUCAAAUUUUACAAUCAAUCGUGUAAGAUUCGGCAAAAUCAUUUUUACAUAUAUCAUGUUUCAUAAUGAUUGCAAUAUGUUACAUAAAAUUGAAUAAUGUGCGGUACACGUACUUAUAAAUAAUUUGUUAAGAGUAUUAUGUGAAAUUAAUAGAUCAAGAGAAGCUAAUUUAAAUUCUUACAAAUUUGGCACAUUUAAGUGGAAAAUAACAUACAACAAUUGAAGCAUUAUCAAAGAGCAAUAUAAGAAUAAAUGGCAAGCGAAAUUAGAAAGAAAAGAUAAUUAUACGUUGAUAUAAAUAUUUUUUAUCGAUUUUCUAGUAGAAGGAGCACUUUUUCUCAAUUUUGUAUGGAAUACGUUUUCGUAUUCAUUCACUAGCGCGCACUGCCAUAACAGUAAUAUUUAAUUAUUUCCAUUUAGUUAUAGUUAUUUACAUUAUCUCGAUAAGCAUAAUUCCUAGAUAGCGUAGUUUACACUGUCGUUAUGUACAAAUGAGAUUAUUGUGCAAAUUGUACAUAACAAUAAUCACUGAAGAAUAACGAUCGUAUUCAUAUUAGUUGUACUCUCAAAUUAAGAGUGAUGUAUUCAAAUUCGGUCGUAUAGAACUUUUAAUAUAUACAUAUGCGUAUUGUAUACAUCUUCAAUAUCAUUUUUUAUAUUUUUCGUCCUACUUCGUGCAUCGUAAAUCGUUAUCAUUGGUGUGAUAUAAGUUAUGUGUACAAGGACAUAAAAAGAUUACGCACUAUGUCCUAUAUUUACUAUAAUAUAUGUAUGCAGUCAACGAUGUUUCAUCAUUAAAUUUUUUCGAACGUGCAUUUCACUCAAUCAACAUGUACAUCGAUAAAAAAAGGUACAAUAAAAAAGUGACGACAAUAAAAAAUCCUACGAUGUUUGUUCUAUGUAUUUAUAUACCUUAUAGGAAAUUCAGUCAAAA